GGGGUGAGCGACUUUUUACACGGUCUGAUGGGACAAAGGGUAACGAUUUUAAACUGAGAGAGGGGAGAUUUGGGUGAGAUGCUAGGGCUAAAUUCUUCGCUCAGAGGGCUGUGAGGUGCUGGCUGCGCUGCCCAGAGCUGUGGCUGCCAUCCCUGGAGGUGCCCCAGGCCAUGGAGGGGCCCUGGGCAGCCCGAGCUGGGGGGCAGCCAGACCAUGGCAGGGAUGGGGCUGGGGGCUGGGAGGUCCCUUACAACACAGCCGUGCUGUGAUUGAUUGACCAGGAGCAGAGCAGGGUGCAUCGCUCUGGCCUCAUUUGCAUGGCUCAUUUGCACAUUUCGAGGCAGGAGAGGCUCCCCGGGGUUACGUUCUCUGCAUCACCAUCUCCUCAGGCCACAAAUACCUGCUAUGGUGACAGGACUGAUGCCACGCAGAGCCACACACUGUCACCAGUGGUGCUUGGCCCUAUCCCCAUGUUGUCACAAACCUUCGAUGCAGGAAGGAAGGUGGGAGGCAAAUCCCUUCCCAGGAGGUUUUCUUGCAGGGCCUCUACUGGCUGCAUCCAGCUCACAAGGCACAGCGCACGGCAUCAGGCACAGUGGCAUCAUGAGGCUGGGAAAGCACACAGAAGUGCAGCCAGGCCCCCACCACUGUCCUGGGCACACAUGGUGUCCUUCUGAGGCUCAGCCAGCCCUGGGGAAAGGCAGAAUGCAUUUAAAAGAAGAAAAGGAA